rnacentral:rRNA from 1 species
ACACGAGCGGCGAACGGGUGAGUAACACGUGGGUGAUCUGCCUUGCACUUCGGGAUAAGCCUGGGAAACUGGGUCUAAUACCGGAUAUGACCACGGAAUGCAUGUUCUGUGGUGGAAAGAUUUAUCGGUGCGAGAUGGGCCCGCGGCCUAUCAGCUUGUUGGUGAGGUAACGGCCCACCAAGGCGACGACGGGUAGCCGACCUGAGAGGGUGACCGGCCACACUGGGACUGAGACACGGCCCAGACUCCUACGGGAGGCAGCAGUGGGGAAUAUUGCACAAUGGGCGAAAGCCUGAUGCAGCGACGCCGCGUGCGGGAUGACGGCCUUCGGGUUGUAAACCGCUUUUGACAGGGACGAAGCGCAAGUGACUGUACCUGUAGAAUAAGGACCGGCCAACUACGUGCCAGCAGCCGCGGUAAUACGUAGGGUCCGAGCGUUGUCCGGAAUUACUGGGCGUAAAGAGCUUGUAGGCGGUUCGUCGCGUCGUUUGUGAAAACUUGGGGCUCAACCUUAAGCUUGCAGGCGAUACGGGCGGACUAGAGUACUUCAGGGGAGACUGGAAUUCCUGGUGUAGCGGUGAAAUGCGCAGAUAUCAGGAGGAACACCGGUGGCGAAGGCGGGUCUCUGGGAAGUAACUGACGCUGAGAAGCGAAAGCAUGGGUAGCAAACAGGAUUAGAUACCCUGGUAGUCCAUGCCGUAAACGGUGGGUACUAGGUGUGGGGCUCCUUCCACGGACUCCGUGCCGUAGCUAACGCAUUAAGUACCCCGCCUGGGGAGUACGGCCGCAAGGCUAAAACUCAAAGAAAUUGACGGGGGCCCGCACAAGCGGCGGAGCAUGUGGAUUAAUUCGAUGCAACGCGAAGAACCUUACCUGGGUUUGACAUACACCGGAAACCUGCAGAGAUGUAGGCCCCCUUGUGGUCGGUGUACAGGUGGUGCAUGGCUGUCGUCAGCUCGUGUCGUGAGAUGUUGGGUUAAGUCCCGCAACGAGCGCAACCCUUAUCUUAUGUUGCCAGCGCGUAAUGGCGGGGACUCGUGAGAGACUGCCGGGGUCAACUCGGAGGAAGGUGGGGACGACGUCAAGUCAUCAUGCCCCUUAUGUCCAGGGCUUCACACAUGCUACAAUGGCCGGUACAGAGGGCUGCGAUACCGCGAGGUGGAGCGAAUCCCUUAAAGCCGGUCUCAGUUCGGAUCGGGGUCUGCAACUCGACCCCGUGAAGUUGGAGUCGCUAGUAAUCGCAGAUCAGCAACGCUGCGGUGAAUACGUUCCCGGGCCUUGUACACACCGCCCGUCACGUCAUGAAAGUCGGUAACACCCGAAGCCGG